UGCAGUCGAACGGAACUUAGAAGCUUGCUUUUAAGUUUAGUGGCGAACGGGUGAGUAAUAUAUCGGGACGUAUCCAAUAAUGGGGGAUAACUAAUCGAAAGGUUGGCUAAUACCGCAUACGCCCUACGGGGGAAAGCUAGGGAUCUUCGGACCUGGCGUUAAUGGAGCGGCUGAUAUCUGAUUAGCUAGUUGGUGAGGUAAAAGCUCACCAAGGCGACGAUCAGUAGCUGGUCUGAGAGGACGACCAGCCACACUGGAACUGAGACACGGUCCAGACUCCUACGGGAGGCAGCAGUGGGGAAUUUUGGACAAUGGGCGAAAGCCUGAUCCAGCCAUUCCGCGUGAGUGAAGAAGGCCUUCGGGUUGUAAAGCUCUUUCGCAAGGGAAGAACACUUAAGCUCUAACAUAGCUUGAGGUUGACGGUACCUUGAUAAGAAGCACCGGCUAACUACGUGCCAGCAGCCGCGGUAAUACGUAGGGUGCGAGCGUUAAUCGGAAUUACUGGGCGUAAAGCGUGCGCAGGCUGUUUUGUAAGUCAGAUGUGAAAUCCCUGAGCUCAACUUAGGAACUGCGUUUGAAACUACAAGACUAGAAUAUGUCAGAGGGGGGUAGAAUUCCACGUGUAGCAGUGAAAUGCGUAGAGAUGUGGAGGAAUACCAAUGGCGAAGGCAGCCCCCUGGGAUAAUAUUGACGCUCAUGCACGAAAGCGUGGGGAGCAAACAGGAUUAGAUACCCUGGUAGUCCGCGCCCUAAACGAUGUCUACUAG
rnacentral:rRNA from 1 species